AUAGGUGAAGAGGUAACCUUAUACCUCUGCUUCAACCAACAACGUCGAACCAGAGAGUAGGGGGAGGAAGAACGAAGCUCCGGCGAGGCGAGGCAGAGAAGAACUGAAGGCACGGCGGUGGUCCGGUAGUGCUGGGCGGUGGUCUGGCGGUGCGCGCAGCAGACCAAGCAGAGGAGAGGGAAAGAACUGGGCGAGAAAGAGAAAAGCUGAGCAAGAGAGAGAUGAAGGCGACAGAGAAGGGCGGCUGGGUAGGCUAAGGCGCGGUGGUUGGCGCAAGGUGGUAGUGGUGAGGGUCGUCGGUGGUUGUCGGUGGAGGGUGGCAGCCUCAGAAGGUGGUGCUGCGGUGGUGUUGGUUCGAAAAACAGAGGAGUGAGAGAGAGUUGCGAAAAACAGAGGGUUUGAGGGUGGUUUAGGUGGCUUUUCCGGUGGUAACUCAGGAAGUUUGAGUGAAUGGUUUGAGGGGAUAAACAUGGCUAUUUAUAGCCAUUGUUGAGCUUCAAUUUAUGCCCAAAUGGAUUGAUGAAUUGAAUGAGAAUAAAAUGGGUUAUUGGGUAAUUUGGUUUGAUUAAUGAAUUUUAUUUACAAAUAAGUUUGAUUGUGUUCAAGAACCCAUUUUGAUUUAGAAAUUCAUGGGUGGGUUUUUGUGAAGAGAAAACUGAGAUGGAGCUAUGGAGAAAACUCACAUUUUCUGUUUUUUUUUUUCAAUUUCUUCUUUUUCUUUUUCUUUUUCUUUUUCUUUUUAUUUUUCUUUUCUUUUCUCUUUUUAUUUUUCUUUUUUUAUUAACAACACCAAUUUGAUCCAACUUUGUAAAGUUCAAGUAAUUGUUUUGUUUAUUAUUUUAUUUUCUUAUUAAUGUAAUGUUAUUAUUUAAUCUAACAUAACUUGUUAUUAAUUGUAACUCUUGCCAUACAUAAUAUAUAUUAUCAUUACUUGGACAUAAAAUAACAAAAAAUUUGAUCUUAACUUAUGAUUAAAGAAAAAACUUAGCCACUAAUUAUUAUUAUUUAAUUUAGGGAAGUUUAAAUUUUCGGGAUAUUACAGUAGUAUCAUGUCUAGGAAUGACCAUUAUUGCUUUGUUUAUGUUUGCAUGCAUUCAAUGGUUUACUAUGUACUCAGCAUCGCUGAUUGUGUGUUAUUGUGUGUUUUUGACCUGUGAUGAACCAUUGAUGCUACAGCGGGGAGCAGACUAGGUGUAUUGGUGCUGCUGCAUGAUACUGAGCAUACGGGGGAAUAGUCCUUAGUCUUGGAACUUUAAAGCGUUUUAAUUAAGCAUUAUAAAAAACUAUUAUGAUUUACUUAAUUAGUUUGUGGUUUGAAUAAAAGGGGUCGUUGAUGAUUCCCGAGUUGUAGUUACAUUUUAUUUUCGCUGCAUUUCAGUUUUUGAGACAA